rnacentral:rRNA from 1 species
GACGAACGCUGGCGGCGUGCCUAAUACAUGCAAGUCGAACGCAGUGGGGACGGGUGAGUAACACGUGGGUAACCUCCCAUCAGAGGGGAUAACACUUGGAAACAGGUGCUAAACCGAUACUGAUGGAUGAACCCGCGGUGCAUUAGCCAGUUGGUGGGGUAACGGCUCACCAAGGCCACGAUGCAUAGCCGACCUGAGAGGGUGGGAGGCCACACUGGAACUGAGACGCGGCCCAGACUCCUACGGGAGGCAGCAGUAGGGAAUCUUCGGCAAGUGACGAAAGUCUGACCGAGCAACGCCGCGUGGGUUAAGAAGGUUUUCGGAUCGUAAACCUCUGUUGUUAGAGAAGCGGUAUCUAACCAGAAAGCCACGGCUAACUCCGUGCCAGCAGCCGCGGUAAUUC